rnacentral:rRNA from 1 species
CCUACGGGAGGCAGCAGUGGGGAAUAUUGCACAAUGGGGGAAACCCUGAUGCAGCGACGCCGCGUGAGUGAAGAAGUAAUUCGUUAUGUAAAGCCCUAUCAGCAGGGAAGAAAAUGACGGUACCUGAGUAAGAAGCCCCGGCUAACUACGUGCCAGCAGCCGCGGUCAUACGUAGGGGGCAAGCGUUAUCCGGAUUUACUGGGUGUAAAGGGAGCGUAGACGGCAGUGCAAGUCUGGAGUGAAAGGCGGGGGCUCAACCCCCGGACUGCUCUGGAAACUGUACGGCUGGAGUGCAGGAGAGGUAAGUGGAAUUCCUAGUGUAGCGGUGAAAUGCGUAGAUAUUAGGAGGAACACCAGUGGCGAAGGCGGCUUACUGGACUGUAACUGACGUUGAGGCUCGAAAGCGUGGGGAGCAAACAGGAUUAGAUACCCCAGUAGUC